rnacentral:lncRNA from 1 species
GGAGCUUCGCUGAGCCUCCUGGGCGUAGGGUUCCCGGGAAAGUGUGGAGUGAGCCGCAGCGCCCUGGGGUCUGGCGGGGUUGAUCAUUUUGGAUUUAAUACUGUGAAAACUUUUAAUCAGCGGUACCUAGUAGCUGAUAAAUACUGGAAGAAAAAUGGUGGAUCAAUACUUUUCUACACUGGUAAUGAAGGGGACAUUAUCUGGUUUUGUAAUAACACGGGGUUCAUGUGGGAUGUGGCUGAGGAACUGAAAGCUAUGUUGGUGUUUGCUGAACAUCGAUACUAUGGAGAGUCUCUCCCCUUUGGUGACAACUCAUUCAAGGAUUCCAGACACUUGAAUUUCCUGACAUCAGAA